rnacentral:pre_miRNA from 1 species
AAAAAAAACAAACCCUGGUUUCCGUGCUCAACGUUUGACCGUCCGUCUUAUUUGAAAAAAUUAUGAAAGAAAUUAAAAAGACAAGUCACGCAUAAAAUAUUAAUCAUGUUUUAUCAUCUAACAAUAAUAAAAAUACGAAUUAUAAAAAAAUUUCAUAUAAGACGGAUAGUCAAAGUUGGACACGCAAACCCAAGGUUUGUCUUUUU